UACGUAAGUGGCGAGCGUUGUCCGGAUUUACUGGGCGUAAAGGGAGCGUAGGCGGACUUUUAAGUGAGAUGUGAAAUACUCGGGCUCAACUUGAGUGCUGCAUUUCAAACUGGAAGUCUAGAGUGCAGGAGAGGAGAAUGGAAUUCCUAGUGUAGCGGUGAAAUGCGUAGAGAUUAGGAAGAACACCAGUGGCGAAGGCGAUUCUCUGGACUGUGACUGAUGCUGAGGCUCGAAAGCGUGGGGAGCAAACAGG
rnacentral:rRNA from 1 species